rnacentral:ncRNA from 2 species
UAGCUUAUCAGACUGGUGUUGACU